rnacentral:ncRNA from 1 species
UAUUUUUACAGCUGUUCUAGACGUAAUAGGAAGAACAGUUUGUACAGAACCUUUUCCAAAUGACUGUGUGCCCAUUAUUAUUGCUCUUUUAUGGUCUUGGAGUGCUCCAGCAACUAUUUCAGAUGCUGAUGCAGAACCGCCAUUUAUUAAAACAACAAUUGGUUUUCCGUUUGCCAAGUCGGUAUUAUUUGACGUAAAUUCAUACAUUGCAUCUGCAGCUUUGCCUUUUGUAAAAACUAGUUUUUUCUUUCCUUUUAUAAAAGCAUCACUAACAUCUACAGCAGCACCUAAAACGCCGCCAGGAUUAUUU